rnacentral:lncRNA from 1 species
CAAUUGACAACUAAUAGUGUUUGGCGAAAGGUGCUUUAUUAUAAUAAUGCAAUAAUAUACAAUUAUACCAAACAUGGUAUCAAUAAGCAACAAUGAACAAGUGUGAAUAUGAAGCACCUUAACCCAAUCUGGGUAAGAUUAAAUAUAAAUUAUAAGGAAGGAAAAAAAAAAUUAAUCAAAUACAUAAUAAAAUGUGGCUGGAACAUGCUCUUUGCUAAAACCACAUGCUAACUAAGCAUCGGAUGACGCAACAAUGGGAGGC